UCCGUGGCUCAGGACGAACGCUGGCGGCGUGCUUAACACAUGCAAGUCGAACGGUGAACCAGAGCUUGCUCUGGGGAUCAGUGGCGAACGGGUGAGUAACACGUGGGCAACCUGCCCCAGACUCUGGGAUAACCUCGGGAAACCGAUGCUAAUACCGGAUACGACCACUUCGGACAUCCGACGGUGGUGGAAAGUUUUCGGUCUGGGAUGGGCCCGCGGCCUAUCAGCUAGUUGGUGGGGUAAUGGCCUACCAAGGCGACGACGGGUAGCCGGCCUGAGAGGGCGACCGGCCACACUGGAACUGAGACACGGUCCAGACUCCUACGGGAGGCAGCAGUGGGGAAUAUUGCACAAUGGGCGAAAGCCUGAUGCAGCGACGCCGCGUGAGGGACGACGGCCUUCGGGUUGUAAACCUCUUUCAGCAGGGACGAAGCGAAAGUGACUGUACCUGCAGAAGAAGCACCGGCUAACUACGUG
rnacentral:rRNA from 1 species